CUGGCGGCAGGCCUAACACAUGCAAGUCGAGCGGUAGCACAGAGAGCUUGCUCUCGGGUGACGAGCGGCGGACGGGUGAGUAAUGUCUGGGAAACUGCCUGAUGGAGGGGGAUAACUACUGGAAACGGUAGCUAAUACCGCAUAACGUCGCAAGACCAAAGUGGGGGACCUUCGGGCCUCAUGCCAUCAGAUGUGCCCAGAUGGGAUUAGCUAGUAGGUGGGGUAACGGCUCACCUAGGCGACGAUCCCUAGCUGGUCUGAGAGGAUGACCAGCCACACUGGAACUGAGACACGGUCCAGACUCCUACGGGAGGCAGCAGUGGGGAAUAUUGCACAAUGGGCGCAAGCCUGAUGCAGCCAUGCCGCGUGUGUGAAGAAGGCCUUCGGGUUGUAAAGCACUUUCAGCGGGGAGGAAGGCGGUGAGGUUAAUAACCUUGUCGAUUGACGUUACCCGCAGAAGAAGCACCGGCUAACUCCGUGCCAGCAGCCGCGGUAAUACGGAGGGUGCAAGCGUUAAUCGGAAUUACUGGGCGUAAAGCGCACGCAGGCGGUCUGUCAAGUCGGAUGUGAAAUCCCCGGGCUCAACCUGGGAACUGCAUUCGAAACUGGCAGGCUAGAGUCUUGUAGAGGGGGGUAGAAUUCCAGGUGUAGCGGUGAAAUGCGUAGAGAUCUGGAGGAAUACCGGUGGCGAAGGCGGCCCCCUGGACAAAGACUGACGCUCAGGUGCGAAAGCGUGGGGAGCAAACAGGAUUAGAUACCCUGGUAGUCCACGCCGUAAACGAUGUCGAUUUGGAGGUUGUGCCCUUGAGGCGUGGCUUCCGGAGCUAACGCGUUAAAUCGACCGCCUGGGGAGUACGGCCGCAAGGUUAAAACUCAAAUGAAUUGACGGGGGCCCGCACAAGCGGUGGAGCAUGUGGUUUAAUUCGAUGCAACGCGAAGAACCUUACCUGGUCUUGACAUCCACAGAACUUUCCAGAGAUGGAUUGGUGCCUUCGGGAACUGUGAGACAGGUGCUGCAUGGCUGUCGUCAGCUCGUGUUGUGAAAUGUUGGGUUAAGUCCCGCAACGAGCGCAACCCUUAUCCUUUGUUGCCAGCGGUUCGGCCGGGAACUCAAAGGAGACUGCCAGUGAUAAACUGGAGGAAGGUGGGGAUGACGUCAAGUCAUCAUGGCCCUUACGACCAGGGCUACACACGUGCUACAAUGGCAUAUACAAAGAGAAGCGACCUCGCGAGAGCAAGCGGACCUCAUAAAGUAUGUCGUAGUCCGGAUUGGAGUCUGCAACUCGACUCCAUGAAGUCGGAAUCGCUAGUAAUCGUAGAUCAGAAUGCUACGGUGAAUACGUUCCCGGGCCUUGUACACACCGCCCGUCACACCAUGGGAGUGGGUUGCAAAAGAAGUAGGUAGCUUAACCUUCGGGAGGGCGCUUACCACUUUGUGAUUCAUGACUGGGGUGAAGUCGUAACAAGGUA
rnacentral:rRNA from 1 species